rnacentral:rRNA from 1 species
GCACCCGCCGCUCAGAACCUCAAAGGAAUUGACGGGGGCCCGCACAAGCGGUGGAGUAUGUGGUUAAUUCGAUGCAACGCGAAGAACCUUACCUGGUCUUGACAUCCCGGAGACCCUUAGGAAACUAGGGGUGCUUCCAUCUGGAAGAAUCUGGAGACAGGUGCUGCAUGGCUGUCGUCAGCUCGUGUCGUGAGAUGUUGGGUUAAGUCCCGCAACGAGCGCAACCCUUGCCUUUAGUUGCCAGCAGUUCGGCUGGGCACUCUAAAGGGACUGCCGGUGUUAAACCGGAGGAAGGUGGGGAUGACGUCAAGUCCUCAUGGCCUUUAUGACCAGGGCUACACACGUACUACAAUGGCCGAUACAAAGGGCAGCGACACUGCGAGGUGAAGCCAAUCCCGUAAAAUCGGUCUCAGUCCGGAUUGGAGUCUGCAACUCGACUCCAUGAAGUUGGAAUCGCUAGUAAUCGUGGAUCAGCAUGCCACGGUGAAUACGUUCCCGGGCCUU